AUUGAACGCUGGCGGCAGGCCUAACACAUGCAAGUCGAGCGGAGAUGAGGUGCUUGCACCUUAUCUUAGCGGCGGACGGGUGGGUAAUGCUUAGGAAUCUGCCUAUUAGUGGGGGACAACAUUCCGAAAGGAAUGCUAAUACCGCAUACGUCCUACGGGAGAAAGCAGGGGAUCUUCGGACCUUGCGCUAAUAGAUGAGCCUAAGUCGGAUUAGCUAGUUGGUGGGGUAAAGGCCUACCAAGGCGACGAUCUGUAGCGGGUCUGAGAGGAUGGUCCGCCGCACUGGGACUGAGGCACGGCCCAGACUCCUACGGGAGGCAGCAGUGGGGAAUAUUGGACAAUGGGGGGAACCCUGAUCCAGCCAUGCCGCGUGGGUGAAGAAGGCCUUAUGGUUGUAAAGCACUUUAAGCGAGGAGGAGGCUACUGAGACUAAUACUCUUGGAUAGUGGACGUUACUCGCAGAAUAAGCACCGGCUAACUCUGUGCCAGCCGCCGCAGUAA
rnacentral:rRNA from 1 species